rnacentral:rRNA from 1 species
GACGAACGCUGGCGGCGUGCCUAACACAUGCAAGUCGAACGAAGUGGCGAACGGGUGAGUAACGCGUAAUAAACCUGCCCUUCAGAGGGGGACAACAGUUGGAAACGAAUGCUAAUACCGAAUACUGAAGGAGGGGAAUGCGUCUGAUUAGCUAGCUGGAGGGGUAACGGCCCACUAAGGGGGUGAUCAGUAGCCGGGCUGGGGGGAUGAACGACCAAAUUGGGACUGAGACAAGGCCCAGACUCCUAAGGGAGGCAGCAGUGGGGAAUCUUCCGCAAUAGACGAAAGUCUGACGGAGCAACGCCGCGUGAGUGAUUACGGCCUUCGGGUUGUAAAGCUCUGUUAAGCGGGACGCGGUACCUGUAUAAGAAGCACCGGCUAACUACGUGCCAGCAGCCGCGGUAAUUC